rnacentral:rRNA from 1 species
UACGUAGGGGGCAAGCGUUGUCCGGAAUCAUUGGGCGUAAAGAGCGUGUAGGCGGGUCUUUAAGUCAGGGGUGAAAUCCUGGAGCUCAACUCCAGAACUGCCUUUGAUACUGAAGAUCUUGAGUUCGGGAGAGGUGAGUGGAACUGCGAGUGUAGAGGUGAAAUUCGUAGAUAUUCGCAAGAACACCAGUGGCGAAGGCGGCUCACUGGCCCGAUACUGACGCUGAGGCACGAAAGCGUGGGGAGCAAACAGG